UACGUAGGGGGCUAGCGUUGUCCGGAAUCAUUGGGCGUAAAGCGCGCGUAGGCGGUCAGGUAAGUCCGGUGUGAAAGUCAAAGGCUCAACCUUUGAAUGCCGCUGGAUACUGCCUGACUUGAGUCCGGAAGGGGCGAGUGGAAUUCCGAGUGUAGAGGUGAAAUUCGUAGAUAUUCGGAAGAACACCAGUGGCGAAGGCGACUUACUGGACACAUAUUGACGCUGAGGUGCGAAAGCGUGGGGAGCAAACAGG
rnacentral:rRNA from 1 species